rnacentral:rRNA from 1 species
GGGUUGUGAGGUUAAGCGACUAAGCGUACACGGUGGAUGCCCUGGCAGUCAGAGGCGAUGAAGGGCGUGCUAAUCUGCGAUAAGCGCCGGUAAGGUGAUAUGAACCGUUAUAACCGGCGAUACCCGAAUGGGGAAACCCAGUGUGAUUCGUCACACUAUCAUUAACUGAAUCCAUAGGUUAAUGAGGCGAACCGGGGGAACUGAAACAUCUAAGUACCCCGAGGAAAAGAAAUCAACCGAGAUUCCCCCAGUAGCGGCGAGCGAACGGGGAGGAGCCCAGAGCCUGAAUCAGCAUGUGUGUUAGUGGAAGCGUCUGGAAAGGCGCGCGAUACAGGGUGACAGCCCCGUACACAAAAGCGCAUGUGCUGUGAGCUCGAUGAGUAGGGCGGGACACGUGGUAUCCUGUCUGAAUAUGGGGGGACCAUCCUCCAAGGCUAAAUACUCCUGACUGACCGAUAGUGAACCAGUACCGUGAGGGAAAGGCGAAAAGAACCCCGGCGAGGGGAGUGAAAAAGAACCUGAAACCGUGUACGUACAAGCAGUGGGAGCCCCACCACCAAAGCAUUCUCUGGUGUUGAAGGCCCUGCAAAGCAGCAUCGCGGUGGCGGAGCGUCGUUUGCGACGCCCAACACACAAAACAAACGGUGAGUGCUUUGGGGUGGGGUGACUGCGUACCUUUUGUAUAAUGGGUCAGCGACUUAUAUUCUGUAGCAAGGUUAACCGCAUAGGGGAGCCGUAGGGAAACC